rnacentral:sRNA from 1 species
GGGGGUGCUUUGGCAUCGACAGGGUUACCGAAGUGUUAGUUGCAAGCCGAGGUCUCAGACGAGGGCACUCGUAAAAAAGUCUGAAAAAAAAUAAGUGCUGACGAAAACUACGCAGCCGGGCCUCAUUCCGCUCCCAUCGGGAUGUACGUCCGGACGAAAUAUGGGAUAGGAAUCUGCCAUGCCUGGGGGUAGGUUCCGAGAUUCACUAGGCUGGCUGAAAUCUGCGCCGACCUUCUUGGGCGUGGACAAGGCGAGACCUUAAAUACGAAGGGAAAGCUUGUAGGAAUGGACAUGGACGUGAUUUUGGACAGGGGUUCGACUCCCCUCACCUCCA